CAGAGGGAUGCAAAACUGCGAAGUGGAGNGAACCCCCAAAAGCCGUCUCAGUUCGGAUCGCAGGCUGCAACCCGCCUGCGUGAAGUUGGAAUCGCUAGUAAUCGCGGAUCAGCAUGCCGCGGUGAAUACGUUCCCGGGCCUUGUACACACCGCCCGUCACACCAUGAGAGUCGGGAACACCCGAAGUCCGUAGCCUAACCGCAAGGGGGCGCGGCCGAAGGUGGGUUCGAUAAUUGGGUGAAGUCGUAACAAGGUACC
rnacentral:rRNA from 1 species